AUUGAACGCUGGCGGCAGGCCUAACACAUGCAAGUCGAACGAGUGGCGGACGGGUGAGUAAUGUCUGGGAAACUGCCUGAUGGAGGGGGAUAACUACUGGAAACGGUAGCUAAUACCGCAUACCAUCGGAUGUGCCCAGAUGGGAUUAGCUAGUAGGUGGGGUAACGGCUCCCCUAGGCGACGAUCCCUAGCUGGUCUGAGAGGAUGACCGGCAACACUGGAACUGAGACACGGCCCCGACCCCUACGGGAGGCAGCAGUGGGGAAUAUUGCACAAUGGGCGCAAGCCUGAUGCAGCCCUGCCGCGUGUAUGAAGAAGGCCUUCGGGUUGUAAAGUACUUUCAGCGGGGAGGCGUUACCCGCAGAAGAAGCACCGGCUAACUCCGUGCCAGCAGCCGCGGUAAUUC
rnacentral:rRNA from 1 species